rnacentral:rRNA from 1 species
AGUGCAUGCGGCGGAUGCCUUGGCGAUCACAGGCGAAGAAAGACGCGGCAGCCUGCGAAAAGCUGCGGGGAGCUGGCAAACGAGCUUUGAUCCGCAGAUAUCUGAAUGGGGGAACCCACACCGCAAGGUGUAUCCGUAGCUGAAUACAUAGGUUACGGAGGCGAACGAGGAGAACUGAAACAUCUAAGUAUCCUCAGGAAAAGAAAUCAACCGAGAUUCCGGCAGUAGCGGCGAGCGAACCCGGAGGAGCCCAGCUUUUGAUAGUACGAACUUUAGCCGAAAGGUCCUGGAAAGGCCUGCUAUAGUGGGUGAUAGCCCCGUAGGCGAAAGAGUUGGUACGGUACUAAGGAAGCGAGAAGUAGAGCGGGACACGUGGAAUCCUGUUCGAAGACGGGGGGACCAUCCUCCAAGGCUAAAUACUCGUGAUCGACCGAUAGUGAACCAGUACCGUGAGGGAAAGGCGAAAAGAACCCCGGGAGGGGAGUGAAAUAGAACCUGAAACCGCAUGCAUACAAACAGUAGGAGCCUCGUCAGAGGUGACUGCGUACCUUUUGCAUAAUGGGUCAGCGACUUACAUUCUGUGGCGAGCUUAACCGAAUAGGGGAGGCGCAGCGAAAGCGAGUUCGAAAUGAGCGUUCAGUCGCAGGGUGUAGACCCGAAACCAGAUGAGCUAUCCAUGGCCAGGUUGAAGGUGUGGUAACACACACUGGAGGACCGAACCGACUAGUGUUGCAAAAUUAGCGGAUGAGCUGUGGAUAGGGGUGAAAGGCCAAACAAAUCUGGAGAUAGCUGGUUCUCCCCGAAAACUAUUGAGGUAGUGCCUCGUGUGUCGCUCCAGGGGGUAGAGCACUGUUUUGGCUAGGGGGACAUGGAGUCUUACCAAACCAAGGCAAACUCCGAAUACCUGGAAGCGUAAGCACGGGAGACAGAGCACCGGGUGCUAACGUCCGGACUCAAAAGGGAAACAACCCAGACCGCCGGCUAAGGUCCCAAAUAACAGCUAAGUGGAAAACGAAGUGGAAAGGCCGUGACAACCAGGAAGUUGGCUUAGAAGCAGCCAUCCUUCAAAGAAAGCGUAAUAGCUCACUGGUCGAGUCCUUCUGCGCGGAAGAUGUAACGGGGCUAAGCUGUUAACCGAAGCCGCGGAUGCGCUGGUUAUCCAGUGCGUGGUAGGGGAGCGUUCUGUAAGUCUGCGAAGGCGGUUCGAGAGGACUGCUGGAGAUAUCAGAAGUGCGAAUGCUGACAUGAGUAACGUUAAAGCAGGUGAAAAGCCUGCUCGCCGUAAGCCCAAGGAUUCCUGCUCUACGUUCAUCGGAGCAGGGUGAGUCGGCUCCUAAGGUCAGGCCGAAAGGCGUAGCCGAUGGGAAUCAGGUUAAUAUUCCUGAACCUGCGUCAGAUGCGAUGGGGGGACGGAGCAUGGGAGAUCAUCCGGGUGUUGGAAGUCCCGGUUGUUUAGCGUAGGAGGUCUGCAGGCAAAUCCGCAGACGCAUCUCCAAGGCAAAGACACGUGCCGCCACGGCGGCGAAGUGAUCGGAAGUGCUUCCAAGAAAAGCCUCUAAGCCCCAGUCUGACGCGGACCGUACCGCAAACCGACACUGGUGGGCGAGCUGAAUAUGCUCAGGCGCUUGAGAGAACUCGGGAGAAGGAACUCGGCAAAUUGACACCGUAACUUCGGAAGAAGGUGUGCCGUAGUACCGUGAGAGGAGAGACACCUUGAGCGGGAAACGGUCUCAGAGAAUAGGUGGCUGCGACUGUUUAUUAAAAACACAGCACUCUGCAAAGUCGAAAGACGACGUAUAGGGUGUGAUGCCUGCCCGGUGCUGGAAGAUUAAUUGAUGGGGUGAGAGCCCUUGAUCGAAGUCCCAGUAAACGGCGGCCGUAACUAUAACGGUCCUAAGGUAGCGAAAUUCCUUGUCGGGUAAGUUCCGACCUGCACGAAUGGCAUAACGAUGGCCACACUGUCUCCUCCCGAGACUCAGUGAAGUUGAAAUGUUUGUGAUGAUGCAAUCUACCCGCGGCUAGACGGGAAGACCCCAUGAACCUUUACUGCAGCUUUGCAUUGAACUGUGAACCGAUUUGUGUAGGAUAGGUGGGAGGCAGAGAAGAGGCCACGCCAGUGGCCUUGGAGCCGACCUUGAAAUACCACCCUGAUUUGUUUGCGGUUCUAACCACGGACAGUGAUCCUGUCUUGGGACCGUGCAUGGUAGGCAGUUUGACUGGGGCGGUCUCCUCCUAAAGGGUAACGGAGGAGUACGAAGGUACGCUAGGUACGGUCGGAAAUCGUGCUGAUAGUGCAAUGGCAAAAGCGUGCUUGACUGCGAGAGCAACAACUCGAGCAGAUGCGAAAGCAGGUCAUAGUGAUCCGGUGGCUCUGAAUGGAAGGGCCAUCGCUCAACGGAUAAAAGGUACUCUGGGGAUAACAGGCUGAUACCGCCCAAGAGUUCAUAUCGACGGCGGUGUUUGGCACCUCGAUGUCGGCUCAUCUCAUCCUGGGGCUGUAGUCGGUCCCAAGGGUAUGGCUGUUCGCCAUUUAAAGAGGUACGUGAGCUGGGUUUAAAACGUCGUGAGACAGUUUGGUCCCUAUCUGCCGUGGGCGUUGGAAGAUUGACGGGGGCUGCUCCUAGUACGAGAGGACCGGAGUGGACGCACCUCUGGUGUACCGGUUGUCACGCCAGUGGCAUUGCCGGGUAGCUAAGUGCGGAAGAGAUAACCGCUGAAAGCAUCUAAGCGGGAAACUUGCCUGAAGAUGAGUCUUCCCGGAGGUUGAACCUCCCUCAAGAGUCGUCCGAGACCAGGACGUCGAUAGGUCAGGUGUGUAAGCGCUGUAAGGCGUUGAGCUAACUGAUACUAAUUGCUCGUGAGGCUUGAUC